UUCUGGUUCAAGAUAUGAUAGCUUCAAGGAAAGUGUUGAUAAAGUAGCAAUUCAUUAUGAAAAUAAACCAUGUCUUGAUGUUGCAACAAGAUGGAAUUCCACAUUUUUAAUGUUGGAAACAGCUGAAAAGUUUGAGGCUGCGUUUGACAGGCUUCUUGUAGUAGAUUACAAUUAUAAAUCUUAUUUUCGUAGUACUGAUGAGAAUCUUGGUGAGGAAACUACCAGAAGUAGAAAAAGAAAAAAGAGUGAAAAAGUUGUUGGUGCUCCCCAAAAAGAGGACUGGGAAACUGCCCGAUUUUUUAUCAAGUACUUAAGAAUUUUCUAUAAUGUUACAAAGAGGGUUUCAGGCACAAAGUACAUGACAUCAAAUUUGUUUUUUAACGAGCUUGUCACAAUGCAUAAAACCAUUGCAAGAAUGUGUAUAAAUGAUGAUGAGAAAAAGAGAAAAAUGGCUCUGUCUAUGAAAAAAAUAUGAGAAGUAUUGGGAUAAUAUUGAUAACGUCAACUUUUUGUUGCAUGUUUCAUUGGUUUUAGAUCCAAGAAAGAAGAAGCUUUAUCUUGGUUUUUCUUUGGAAAAGAUAUAUGGCAAGAAUUCCCCUAAAGUUUCAGAGAUUAUGAAACAAACAUUGGAUACUUUAGAAGCUUUGUUUACUCAAUAUAAGAUGAGGGAGGAUGGAGUCAAUGGUAAAAACAUUGCAUCUUCUACCAGUAAUGUGUCUAAAAGUGGUUAUGAUGAUGAGGAGGCUGAUUAUGCACGAUAUCUGGAAGAAAAUGGGCAGGGGGUUGGAAAAACUGAAGUCGAGAUUUACUUAGAAGAUGCGACCGAAAAAAGGGACGAUAAACUUGAUGUCUUGAAUUGAUGGAAAAUGAAUUCUGCAAAGUUCCCUAUACUUUCACAAGUGGCUAGGCAUGUAUUGGCAAUGCCAAUCUCGACAGUUGCAUUAGAGUCCGCAUUUAGUACUGGUGGUAGGGUCAUUGAUAAGUUUAGGAGUUCUCUUAACCCCAAGACCGCUGAAGCCUUAAUCUGUGCACAAGACUGGAUAAAAUUUAAGGGGGCUGACUUGCAAGACGUACCUCUUAAUGCUGAAGAACUACAAGAUCUGGUCGAGAACUUGGAGAGAAUAGAACUUGAAGAAUUUCCUACAACUGAAAAACACGUCAAUGACUCUUUCAUGGAUGAGGAAUCGUACUAAAGAUCAAGAUGAUGGAUUUGGCUAUUCUAGGUGGCUAUGAAUUGAUAUGGAGGCAUUGCUAAUGUCUUUUGAUGUGUUAAUAUUUCCUUUUGUCAAAAAACAAUCAUGCCUUUCGUACUAAUAUUUUUUGGAUGAUCUUUAUAAGAUCAAAUGCUAUUUAAGCUCAAUCUGUAAUCUUUUGGAAGUUCACAUUUAUAUCUCUCAAUGACUACUAAUAUUAUUAAUCUCUUA